UCGAGAAUCUUCCGCAAUGGACGAAAGUCUGACGGAGCGACGCCGCGUGAUGGAUGAAGUCCCUCUGGGACGUAAACAUCUUUUAUGAGGGAGAAAGUUUUAUUGAUAGUACCUCACGAAUAAGGGGUUGCUAAACUCGUGCCAGCAGCAGCGGUAAUACGAGUGCCCCGAGCGUUAUCCGGAAUCAUUGGGCGUAAAGGGUGUGUAGGUGGCAUUGUUAGUCACACGUUAAACCCUGGGGCUUAACCCCAGAUCUGCGUGUGAUACGGCAAAGCUAGAGGAUGGCAGGGAUGUAUGGAACUCAUGGAGUAGGGGUGAAAUCCGUUGAUAUCAUGGGGAACACCGAAAGCGAAGGCAGUACAUUGGGCCACUCCUGACACUGAAACACGAAAGCGUGGGUAGCGAAUGGGAUUAGAUACCCCUGUAGUCCCUGAGCGGGCUGGCAAGGCGCAU
rnacentral:rRNA from 1 species